rnacentral:rRNA from 1 species
CACCGCGGUUAUACGAGGGGCCCAAGCUGACAGACGUCGGCGUAAAGAGUGGUUACGGAACGACCUAAACUAAAGUUAAACACCCCCCAAACUGUUAUACGCGCCCGGGGGCCGGAUACUCCGCCACGAAAGUGACUUUAAUUUUCCUGAACCCACCACAGCUAUGGUC